rnacentral:rRNA from 1 species
UAGGGAAUAUUGGACAAUGGGGGCAAGCCCUGAUCCCAGCAAUGCCGCAGUCGAGUGAUGAAGGCCUUAGGGUUGUAAAGGCUCUUUUACCCGGGUACGUGAUAAUGACAGUACCGGGAGAAUAAGCUCCGGCUAACUCCGUGCCAGCAGCCGCGGUAAUACGGAGGGAGCUAGCGUUGUUCGGAAUUACUGGGCGUAAAGCGCACGUAGGCGGCUAUUCAAGUCAGAGGUGAAAGCCCGGGGCUCAACCCCGGAACUGCCUUUGAAACUAGAUAGCUUGAAUCCAGGAGAGGUGAGUGGAAUUCCGAGUGUAGAGGUGAAAUUCGUAGAUAUUCGGAAGAACACCAGUGGCGAAGGCGGCUCACUGGACUUGGUAUUGACGCUGAGGUGCGAAAGCGU